AGUGAACGCUGGCGGUAGGCCUAAAACAUGCAAGUCGACCGGAACAAUGGUAAGAUUUUGCCUUUACGGUUGGCGGGGGGCGGACGGGUAAGGAAUACAUCGAAUCCUACUUUUUCUGGGGGAAUAACGAGGGAAAACUUCCGCUAAUACCGAAUAGAACUAACGGUUGAAAGCAGGGGUUCUCGGGACUUUGGCGGUUUGAUGAAGCGGAGGUCGGAUUAGCUAGUUGGCGGGGUAAAGUCCCACCAAGGCGACGAUCCGUAGCUGGUCUGAGAGGAUGAUCAGCCACACUGGAACUGAGACACGGUCCAGACUCCUACGGGAGGCAGCAGUGGGGAAUAUUGGACAAUGGGCGAAAGCCUGAUCCAGCCAUACCGCGUGAGUGAAGAAGGCCUUCGGGUUGUAAAGCUCUUUUGUUGGGAAAGAAAAGCAGCAGGUUAAUACCCCGCUGUUCUGACGGUACCCAAAGAAUAAGCACCGGCUAACUUCGUG
rnacentral:rRNA from 1 species